rnacentral:rRNA from 7 species
GGGUUGUGAGGUUAAGCGACUAAGCGUACACGGUGGAUGCCCUGGCAGUCAGAGGCGAUGAAGGGCGUGCUAAUCUGCGAUAAGCGCCGGUAAGGUGAUAUGAACCGUUAUAACCGGCGAUACCCGAAUGGGGAAACCCAGUGUGACUCGUCACACUAUCAUUAACUGAAUCCAUAGGUUAAUGAGGCGAACCGGGGGAACUGAAACAUCUAAGUACCCCGAGGAAAAGAAAUCAACCGAGAUUCCCCCAGUAGCGGCGAGCGAACGGGGAGGAGCCCAGAGCCUGAAUCAGCAUGUGUGUUAGUGGAAGCGUCUGGAAAGGCGCGCGAUACAGGGUGACAGCCCCGUACACAAAAGCGCAUGUGCUGUGAGCUCGAUGAGUAGGGCGGGACACGUGGUAUCCUGUCUGAAUAUGGGGGGACCAUCCUCCAAGGCUAAAUACUCCUGACUGACCGAUAGUGAACCAGUACCGUGAGGGAAAGGCGAAAAGAACCCCGGCGAGGGGAGUGAAAAAGAACCUGAAACCGUGUACGUACAAGCAGUGGGAGCCCCACCACUAAGCCAGUGGUGAACUCCACAUACGCAUCCUUUGCUGAGGAUACGGUUAACGGAGCGAAAGCGACGUUCAACCGCAAAAGAAGCAGAGGGGGCUUAGUGGUGGGGUGACUGCGUACCUUUUGUAUAAUGGGUCAGCGACUUAUAUUCUGUAGCAAGGUUAACCGAAUAGGGGAGCCGGAGGGAAACCGAGUCUUAAUUGGGCGUUAAGUUGCAGGGUAUAGACCCGAAACCCGGUGAUCUAGCCAUGGGCAGGUUGAAGGUUGGGUAACACUAACUGGAGGACCGAACCGACUAAUGUUGAAAAAUUAGCGGAUGACCUGUGGCUGGGGGUGAAAGGCCAAUCAAACCGGGAGAUAGCUGGUUCUCCCCGAAAGCUAUUUAGGUAGCGCCUCGUGAAUUCAUCUCCGGGGGUAGAGCACUGUUUCGGCUAGGGGGCCAUCCCGGCUUACCAACCCGAUGCAAACUGCGAAUACCGGAGAAUGUUAUCACGGGAGACACACGGCGGGUGCUAACGUCCGUCGUGAAGAGGGAAACAACCCAGACCGCCAGCUAAGGUCCCAAAGUCAUGGUUAAGUGGGAAACGAUGUGGGAAGGCCCAGACAGCCAGGAUGUUGGCUUAGAAGCAGCCAUCAUUUAAAGAAAGCGUAAUAGCUCACUGGUCGAGUCGGCCUGCGCGGAAGAUGUAACGGGGCUAAACCAUGCACCGAAGCUGCGGCAGCGACACUGUGUGUUGUUGGGUAGGGGAGCGUUCUGUAAGCCUGUGAAGGUGUGUCGUGAGGCAUGCUGGAGGUAUCAGAAGUGCGAAUGCUGACAUAAGUAACGAUAAAGCGGGUGAAAAGCCCGCUCGCCGGAAGACCAAGGGUUCCUGUCCAACGUUAAUCGGGGCAGGGUGAGUCGACCCCUAAGGCGAGGCCGAAAGGCGUAGUCGAUGGGAAACGGGUUAAUAUUCCCGUACUUGGUGUUACUGCGAAGGGGGGACGGAGAAGGCUAUGUUGGCCGGGCGACGGUUGUCCCGGUUUAAGCGUGUAGGUGUGUGUUCCAGGUAAAUCCGGUUCACUUUAACACUGAGGCGUGACGACGAGGCACUACGGUGCUGAAGCAACAAAUGCCCUGCUUCCAGGAAAAGCCUCUAAGCAUCAGGUAACAUCAAAUCGUACCCCAAACCGACACAGGUGGUCAGGUAGAGAAUACCAAGGCGCUUGAGAGAACUCGGGUGAAGGAACUAGGCAAAAUGGUGCCGUAACUUCGGGAGAAGGCACGCUGACACGUAGGUGAAGUGAUUUACUCAUGGAGCUGAAGUCAGUCGAAGAUACCAGCUGGCUGCAACUGUUUAUUAAAAACACAGCACUGUGCAAACACGAAAGUGGACGUAUACGGUGUGACGCCUGCCCGGUGCCGGAAGGUUAAUUGAUGGGGUCAGCGCAAGCGAAGCUCCUGAUCGAAGCCCCGGUAAACGGCGGCCGUAACUAUAACGGUCCUAAGGUAGCGAAAUUCCUUGUCGGGUAAGUUCCGACCUGCACGAAUGGCGUAAUGAUGGCCAGGCUGUCUCCACCCGAGACUCAGUGAAAUUGAACUCGCUGUGAAGAUGCAGUGUACCCGCGGCAAGACGGAAAGACCCCGUGAACCUUUACUAUAGCUUGACACUGAACAUUGAGCCUUGAUGUGUAGGAUAGGUGGGAGGCUUUGAAGUGUGGACGCCAGUCUGCAUGGAGCCGACCUUGAAAUACCACCCUUUAAUGUUUGAUGUUCUAACGUGGACCCGUUACCCGGGUUGCGGACAGUGUCUGGUGGGUAGUUUGACUGGGGCGGUCUCCUCCUAAAGAGUAACGGAGGAGCACGAAGGUUGGCUAAUCCUGGUCGGACAUCAGGAGGUUAGUGCAAUGGCAUAAGCCAGCUUGACUGCGAGCGUGACGGCGCGAGCAGGUGCGAAAGCAGGUCAUAGUGAUCCGGUGGUUCUGAAUGGAAGGGCCAUCGCUCAACGGAUAAAAGGUACUCCGGGGAUAACAGGCUGAUACCGCCCAAGAGUUCAUAUCGACGGCGGUGUUUGGCACCUCGAUGUCGGCUCAUCACAUCCUGGGGCUGAAGUAGGUCCCAAGGGUAUGGCUGUUCGCCAUUUAAAGUGGUACGCGAGCUGGGUUUAGAACGUCGUGAGACAGUUCGGUCCCUAUCUGCCGUGGGCGCUGGAGAACUGAGGGGGGCUGCUCCUAGUACGAGAGGACCGGAGUGGACGCAUCACUGGUGUUCGGGUUGUCAUGCCAAUGGCACUGCCCGGUAGCUAAAUGCGGAAGAGAUAAGUGCUGAAAGCAUCUAAGCACGAAACUUGCCCCGAGAUGAGUUCUCCCUGAGACUUAGAGUCUCCUGAAGGAACGUUGAAGACGACGACGUUGAUAGGCCGGGUGUGUAAGCGCAGCGAUGCGUUGAGCUAACCGGUACUAAUGAACCGUGAGGCUUAACCUUACAACGCCGAAG